GACCCUGUAGCUCAGUUGGUAGAGCAUGGUGUUUGCAACACCAGGGUUGUGGGUUCGAUUCCCACGGGGGGCC
rnacentral:tRNA from 1 species